rnacentral:lncRNA from 1 species
AAAACCCCAUGUAAUCACGAGGUUGAGGUAAGAGAUUAAGGGCCGUUGACCCAAAGGAAACAGUGCUGACCUGUCUCCUCGGUGGCAUAUCACUCUUCAGCCACCAAGCCCCCAAGGACACAGCGGGAAAAGCACCAUCUUGGAAGAAGAGAAUGGCCUCACCAGAUGCCAAGCCUGCUGGCGCCUUGACCUUAGGCUCCCCAGCCUCCAGAACUGUAAGCCAAAAAGCUUCUGUUC